UACGUAGGGGGCAAGCGUUGUCCGGAAUCAUUGGGCGUAAAGAGCUCGUAGGCGGUGUGUCGCGUCGGCCGUGAAAACCUGCAGCUUAACUGUGGGCUUGCGGUCGAUACGGGCAUCACUGGAGUUCGGCAGGGGAGACUGGAAUUCCAGGUGUAGCGGUGAAAUGCGUAGAUAUCUGGAGGAAUACCGGUGGCGAAGGCGGCAUCCUGGACCGACAUUGACGCUGAUGAGCGAAAGCUAGGGGAGCAAACGGGG
rnacentral:rRNA from 1 species